GCAAGUGUAGCUCAGCCUGGUUAGAGCACAACCUUGCCAAGGUUGGGGUCGAGAGUUCGAAUCUCUUUACUUGCU
rnacentral:tRNA from 1 species